AUGAAGACCGCCAGGAUUUCGAAGACAAGGAGUGGCGAGCCAGAGCUAAGCGAGGAGCUCUAUCAGGCCGCAAUCUGCAUGGAGGAGAGGAUCCGCGCGCUGCAAUCCGCCGGUUGGAUCGGCAAUGAAGGGGAAUCGAUGGAGAUUGGCGACGGCGGCGAGAUGGAAACGGGAGGGAAGUCAUCAACGGGGUGGAGUAGCGCCGCGUCCCUAGAGCUCGAGGAGCUGCUCCACCGUGCCGCAAUCCUCACCCAGACGAGGGCAGGCGACGGAGACGCGGAAAGCGAGGAGCUGCUCGAUCUGGCCGCAAAGGAGAGGAUCGUCGGCCAGGCAGGCAACCCACUCUCCUGGGAAUUAAUAAGUGAGAUCAUGCCGGAGUUUGAAGCAAAGGUCGGCGAGUCGGUACUUCAGGCAGAAGAGACCCGGAAGGAGGCGGUGGCCGUGCUGAGCUUCGGCUUCAGGCUGCACUUGUUCUCCGAGCAGAUCGAUGAGCUGCGGCACGAGAUGUGCAGCUUUCUGAGAUCGUUCUCGUCGGAAAACAAAGAUAUAAGGAGCACCAUGAUGAAGUUUAUCUCUGAGCCGUACCUAUCCCGUAUCAGCAAAUUGCAGUUGAUCUCUGACCGUAUCAGUAUGCUCCAGCGAAUGGACUCAGACUUCGACUCCAAAGUGAAAUCAACGAUCAUCAAGCUAAAAUCAGAAUCCUUCUUGUCAGCCAUGGAGGACGAGCUCCGCAGGGCAGGCCAAGAAGAUUCCAUGGAGAUGGAGGAGAAGAGAUUCGCUGCCUUCCAUCUCUAUUGGGAACGUAUAUGGGGCAAGGAUGGCCACAGCUUCGAAAAGCAGACGAUAUUGAGCCCCAUGCAAUUUACACAUUGCACAACACGCCGCUUCCCAACUGAAGCUGUCGCCGGGAACACCUUGCAGAUCUACUCCAUCAAAGUCUCACUAGCAGAACGCCAAAGGUUCCCACUGGAGGUGUAUGGAGUGGUCGCAGUCCGUGAUGCUGUGGACCGUCGUCGCAACCCUCUAUUCCUCUGUGCAAGAAUGCACUGCCAAAUCCUUGAAGAAAAUGAUUCUUUUUUGCACUUGACUGGCCCGGUUCGUGCAAUUGUCUCGAUGGAUACUGUUUACAUCGAAAUCCAAUUGAUAGUGAAGGGCGCAACAAAAUCUGAAGAUACAGCGUUGAUCAGUACAUUUGGCUUUUUCAACGGUGAUAAUUCCAGUACCUAUCUCGCCAAAAACAACUUGUGCACAGUGGAGUUAUGCUAUGAACAAGUUAAACAGUCGGUCCAGGCCACUAUCCUCAGUUUGGGUGUUAUACCCAAACAGGAUUCAUUGCCUUCUCCACAUGGCGGCAGAGUUGUUUGCUCUUCACUGCCUCAGGAUGGUCAUGAAGAUAUCGCUGGGCAAGUAUCAUCUAGGCAAGUUUUGCUGCUUGAUUCAAAAGAUGGAAAAAUGCCUAUGACGAGCAAUGGCUACCUUGAUCUGGCAAGACAUGUAGUUUCUGUGGAAUUAAAUGGAAAGCUGCAAGUCCUCAUAAUGGCUGAUUCACCAUCACAGACUGCAAUUGCUGCUCGAUUCCUCCUUACACCCAAAAAAUACAACACAAGUAAAUGUGAAUAUCCCCUUGCUGAUGGCUCUAAGGUUGAGAUUACUGUUGCAUGGUCCCUUGUUCCCUCAACGAUGCCGCAGUCAGGUGACAGUCCUGAGGACAGUGGGAUGGCGACUGCAGGAAAUUCGAAGGGAAAGAGUGGCGAGUCCAUGUUUAGCGAGGAUCUCUGUCAGGCUGCCAUCUUCAUGCAGAAGAGUAUCUGCUGGAUCCAGGCCCAGGAGAAGAAGAUGGUCAAGAUUGGACACUACGGCUCCGAAGAAUACAAUAAUCUUCUGGUGUUGAAAUCCGAUAUGUACGAGUUGUCGAAUAAGAUCUUCGAUCGGGUCGACUACAGGACCCAAAAGAGGAUCUGCGCGAUGCAGAAUGCCUAUUGGAUCAGCAACAACAGGAAAUUGACAGAUACCGAGAGCAAAAUGGGCGACGACAUUGAGAUGGAAACUGGAGGGAAGUCGUUGAAGGGAAGGAGUGGCGAGUUUAAAUCGGCGACUAUUGGCAAUGAAGACAGAACGGUACAGACACAGAAAAAGAUUGGUGACGGUGGCAAAUCGGACUCCAAGCAGUUCAAUGAGCAGGAGCAGUUCAAGGAGCCGCCGGUUAAUAACUCGAUCCCCAUGGCUGUAUCUGUCAGAAACAAGAUUGAGGAGGAGGCAGAGGCAGAGACCGUGAUGGCGGAGGUGGCACCGAGGGUCAGCUUCAAAUCAGCUCUGCUCUCCCGGCAGUUUGAUGAGCUGUGGGACAACAUGAGCCAACUAGUUUCAACAGAACCAAAAUUUCUAGCGAUAUGCAUACUUAUUCGGGAACCCUUCGAACGCUAUUGCUCCACAUUGAAGCUUAUCUCUGCAGUUUUCGACCGGCUUGGUCAAUGGGUGCCAGAUUUCAGAGAGAAAAUGGAAUUGAUAAAGGAAGACAAGGACAGGGAUAAGGAUGUGGAAGCUGAGGAUGUGUAUGAGGCGACGAAGAUGGCUGAGGAGUAUUAUUUCAAUGCUUAUCGUAGAGAUUGGGAAUGUAGGCGCAGCAACUUUGGCAGCUUCGAAGACCCAACGUUAUUGAGCCCUAUGUACUUUACCGACAGCAUACCAGGCCACACCCAAGUGGGUGCUGAAGUCGGGAGGACCAUGCAGGUCUACUCUAUUAAAGUCGCAGAAAGAGAAGGCUUCACCCUCGAGUGGCCACUGAAGGUAUAUGGUGUAGUUGCUGCCCGAGAUUCUGUGGACUAUCGUCGCAACCUUCUCUUCUUUCGCACUAGGGAUGACUGCCAAAUCCUGACAAAACAGGAUCCCUUUUUGCACUUGACUGGCCCUUCUCGUGCAAUUAUGUCUGGGGGCAUAAUGGAACCCGCAGUUACGAUUGAAGUCCACCUAAAACUUAAGGGCACGGUGGAGUCUAAAGAUAGAACAUUGAUCAGUAAGGCCUUCCUUUAUGAUGAAAAAGAUCUUGAUAGUGCUGAUAUGAUUUCUACGCGUGUCCUCCAGGGCCUUUGUGAAAUAGAGCUAUGCUGUGAGCAGCUUGAACAUUCACACCAAGCCACUAUCCUCGGUGUCCGUGUUGUACGGGGCUCAUUGGCUUGUGGCAAUGGCAUCAAGAUUGUUUGCUCCGUACUACCUGAGGACAAAACCGAAGGCGGUGGUAAGCGCCCAUCUGGGUGUAUUUUGCUGCUUGAUUCACAAGCUGGAGAUAUGCCUGUGGGUGAAGAGGGUUAUCUGGAUCUGUCGAGGCAAGUUGUAUCUGUGAAAUCAAGAGGAAGGCUAGAAAUUCUCGUGCAGGCUGGAGAAAUCAGUGGAAGUGUCGUCUUUCCAAUCAAAUUCAGCAACAUAAGUGAAGAAAGUUGUGAGCCUGGUGAUUGUAAAGUGGAGAUAACCGUUGCUUGGUCCUUGCUCGUUGAAAACCAGUAUGAUAUCUCGGUGAUGGGAGCUAUACAGCCUUACGCAUGGGAAUCAAUUCCACGUAGGCCGAUCAUGAAGCUUGUUGACGCUUGUUGA
rnacentral:rRNA from 1 species